AGCCGAAACGGCCCUUCGGGGCCGUCGUGCAGGGGGUGACCGCCCUGCGCCCGAUGAUGGCAGGUCGAG
rnacentral:hammerhead_ribozyme from 1 species